rnacentral:rRNA from 1 species
CAGGCUGCAACCCGCCUGCAUGAAGUUGGAAUCGCUAGUAAUCGCGGAUCAGCAUGCCGCGGUGAAUACGUUCCCGGGCCUUGUACACACCGCCCGUCACACCAUGAGAGUCGGGAACACCCGAAGUCCGUAGCCUGACUGCAAGGGGGGCGCGGCCGAAGGUGGGUUCGAUAAUUGGGGUGAAGUCGUAACAAGGUACC